AACGUAGGUACCGAGCGUUAUCCGGAUUUACUGGGCGUAAAGCGUACGCAGGUGGCGAGACAAGUCGGAUGUGAAAGCCCGGGGCUCAACCCCGGAUGUGCAUCCGAUACUGUUUUGCUGGAGUCCGGAAGAGGAGAGCGGAAUUCCCCAGUGUAGAGGUGAAAUUCGUAGAUAUUGGGAAGAACACCGGUGGCGAAGGCGGCUCUCUGGUCCGGUUCUGACGCUGAGACGCGAAAGCGCGGGGAGCGAACGGG
rnacentral:rRNA from 1 species